UAAUAAAAUAGUUAAAAAUCUCCCUUUAGUUUAAAAAAGGGACGAUCUGUUGUAUAAAAAGUUGGUGUGAGUUCGCUCACGUUAAAAAGGACAAUGCCUAUGUGUACUUCAGACAUGUGUCCGAAGCGAUCUGGGGACGCGCCGAUGUGUCCUGGGAGGCAUGUUAUCUGUUCAGCCUCCAGAAAUAGCAUCUGGGACUCGCUAUUCUUUCAAAAGAUUACAAAGUUCAUUAUUAAAGUGUACAGCGAUGAAUAUUACUGGAGUAUUGCGAAGAGUCUGAUCCUUUUCACCUGUGGAUUAAAAUUUUACUACGACGCUAGCAACCAUUUCAAGACGCAAUGUCAUGAUCAAACUAAAAUCUGCGCAGCAAGGAAAAGAUACGGCC